rnacentral:rRNA from 1 species
GUAGUCAUAUGCUUGUCUCAAAGAUUAAGCCAUGCAUGUCUAAGUACAGGCCUACGAAAUGGUGAAACCGCGAAUGGCUCAUUAAAUCAGUUAUGGUUCCUUGGAAUGUUGUCAAAGUGGAUAACUGUGGCAAUUCUAGAGCUAAUACAUGGCAUAACGCCUCGGCCCUCGUGCCCACGCGUGCUUUUAUUAGACAACCAAGCAGCGGUCCAACUGGGCUGAUUGCAGUCAAAUGGUGGUGAACUCUGUAUAACUUAUUGCGUACCGUUCAGGCCUUUGUGCCUUCGGUGUUCUUUCAAGUGUCUGCUCUAUCAACUUUCGAUGGCAGGUUAUACGCCUACCAUGGUUGUGACGGGUAACGGAGAAUCAGGGUUCGAUUCCGGAGAGGGAGCCUGAGAAACGGCUACCACAUCCAAGGAAGGCAGCAGGCGCGUAAAUUACCCAAUCCCGGCACGGGGAGGUAGUGACGAAAAAUAACGAUGCGGGGCUCCAACGAGUCUCCGUGAUUGGAAUGAGUACACUCUAAACCCUUUAACGAGGAUCUAUUGGAGGGCAAGUCUGGUGCCAGCAGCCGCGGUAAUUCCAGCUSCAAUAGCGUAUAUUAAAGCUGUUGCGGUUAAAAAGCUCGUAGUUGAAACCGAGCGGAUUCGUACAGUGGGCACAUUCGUCUGUGCCGUGUGUACGGGUUGCGCAACGGGGGUAGCUGUUCCUCGUCCUCUUCACUGAGUGGCUUGGGGUGGCUAUCAUAUAUCACUUUGAUUAAAUUAGAGUGCUCAAAGCAGGCCUCGCGCCCCCAUAGCAGUGCACGGAAUGAUGGAAGACGUUGCUGUUCUGUUUGUCUGGUUUUUGGAUACGGCAAGAUGAUCGAGAGGAACAAUCCGGAGGCGAAGGUAUUGCAGCGAGAGAGGUGAAAUUCUUGGACCGUUGCAAGACCAACUACAGCGAAAGCAUUCGCCGAGAGUGUUUUCAUUGAUCAAGAACGAAAGUUAGAGGUUCGAAGGCGAUCAGAUACCGCCCUAGUUCUAACCAUAAACGAUGCCUACUUGCAAUCCGCCUCGGUUCUCUAAAUGACUGGGCGGGCAGCUCCGGGAAACCAAAGUGGGGUUCCGGGGGAAGUAUGGUUGCAAAGCUGAAACUUAAAGGAAUUGACGGAAGGGCACCACCAGGCAUGGAGCCUGCGGCUUAAUUUGACUCAACACGGGAAAACUUACCCGGCCCGGACACUGGGAGGAUUGACAGAUUGAGAGCUCUUUCUUGAUUCGGUGGAGGGUGGUGCAUGGCCGUUCUUAGUUGGUGGAGCGAUCUGUCUGGUUUAUUCCGAUAACGAACGAGACUCUAGCCUAUUAAAUAGUCGCCAGGGUCACGCAGCCCCUGGCGUACUUCUUAGAGGGACAAGGUGCUUUCAGCACCGCGAAAAAGAGCAAUAACAGGUCUGUGAUGCCCUUAGAUGUCCGGGGCCGCACGCGCGCUACACUGAUGGAAAAAGCGUGUCGUGUUCCUAGUUCGAAGGAACUGGGUAACCCAAUGAAGCUCCUUCAUGAUUGGGAUAGGGGCUUGCAAUUGUACCCCUUGAACGAGGAAUGCCCAGUAAACACUAGUCAUCAGCUAGUGUUGAUUACGUCCCUGCCCUUUGUACACACCGCCCGUCGCUACUACCGAUUGAGUGAUUUAGUGAGGUCAUCUGACUGAGCCCCCGAGCACCUCCGGGUCGCGCGGCGGGAGCGGAAAGACGACCAAACUUGAUUACUUAGAGGAAGUAAAAGUCGUAANAAGGUUUCCGUAGGUGAACCUGCGGA